UCCCUAUCUCUACAAAAAAAAAAAAAAAAAAAAAUUAAUUAGCCAAAUGUAGUGGCACACACCUGUAGUCCCAGCUACUCUGAAGGCUGAGGCAGGAAAAUCAGUUGAGCCCAGGAAUUUGAGGCUGCAGUGAGCUAUGAUCGCACCACUGAACUCCAGCCUGGGCAACAGAGCAAGACUCUAUUUCUAAAAAAAAAAAAGCCAAACUAUCCCAAGAUUAUUUCUUAAGGCUUCUAGUUUUUACUUCUAAUAUUUUUACAGUACUUUUUUAUUUAGAUCUUUAAUCCAGAAAGAAUUAAUAUUUGCAUAUGGUAAGGCUGUACAUCUAGCUUUAUUUUCUUCCAGAUGUAUAGCAUGUGUAUUUGUUAAAUAACUCAUUCUUUUAGUUAUGUAGUUUGUAUUUAAUGUUCAGAUGAGUAAUGUCUGUGUAAUCAAACUGUUUUUUUUUAGUGAAUUGUGCUUUGCUCUUAUGCUUAGACAGUUCUGCCCCACUGUUGGUCAGGUGAGCACUCAGUUGCAUUUUCAUCCAGGUACUGAGUGCCAACGUUCCUUCUGCAAUUAAAGAUGGGGAAACCGAAGCCAGAAGUUGAAGAGCAGCCUGGGUAACAUAGCAAGAUCUCAUCUCUAAAACAAACAAAAAUGAUGGGGAAACUGAGUCCUGGGAAUGGUAAGAUGACAAGAACAAAGGGACAAGCCUAUGGUAACGAGAUGCAUUUUGAGGGCCGCCAACUUCCAGGCUGGAGGAUCUCUCAGUAUCCACAGCACUAUAUCCAUUUCCUGUACAUCUGCUGUGUAGCUCUUGUACCUGGCUCAGUACCUGGAUCAGCUACAGAAGCACACAGAUGGUUUCGUCUUAAACUUGAAGCCCCAGUUUCCUCACCAGCAUCCCUUCUCACAGGCAAAGCCUCCACCCUAGUGCUAUUCCUAGUGCCCAGGCAUUCUCCAUGGCCAUCCUCUGGGCUCAGCCUCUGCAAAUACAGCCAGCCUGGAUACAAAACAAACAUGUGGUUAGCAUAAGGAAACCACGAAGCUGAUUCAGAUGAAAGAUCCAGUGAAGAGGCCUCCCUGAGAGGGAGGAUAGGCUACAUAAUUGGUGCAAAAUGAAAAUGCAGGUCCCCUUGGUAAAAAUUAUUACAUGUUUCAAGAUGGUAACAGCAGAGAGUUUAGCCAAGCCCAGGGCCUUCCUAUACAUGAGGCCAUGAAGCCAUCCCUGCUUCUGGAGGUACCAGACCCAGGGAACUGGGACCCCGCCAAAGCUCCUUCAGUAUUCAAAUUGAGGCAACUUCAUCCUCCUGCAAAAGAGCCUCAGAGCCUGGACUGCAGGGUUCAGUGAUGACCCAGCCUCCCACCACUCCCAUUGUGCCCCUGAAUUAGGGCUCUGCCUUAACUCUCCUAAUUCAGAAACUUCAGCUCCACAAAGACCUCAGGCCCCACCCCAUCUUCACCCUAGCACAUCUGAGCCUCAGCCAAGGGGUGUGAUCUGGAGUGGUGGACACAGCCCUGGACCACUGCGAAACAAGCAAGAAGUAUGCUCAAGGCCAUAGGAAGGAAAGAUUCUGUACUCUGGAAUCAUACAGACUUGGGUUUAAAUUCCACUCUACUACUCACCACCUAUGUGACUGUCACUUAGAGAUGCUCAUAUGAGACCACCAUGAGGAUUAACUGAAGUGAGUCCCACUGCCUGGCACAGAACAGUCACUUUUAAGGAGAGCAGUGUAGCCGAGUGGUAACAGCAUACACUGCCUGAAAAAUCCCAGCUCUGGCACUUAGCAGUAUUCAGCCUAAGUCAUACUCCUGAAUGUCUGCCUGCCUCAGUUUCCAAGGAAGUGACACGGGGAUGAUGCUAGUUGUACAUUCUUCAUUGUGUCAUUUUAAAGAUUAGACAGGUUAAUGUUUGCAACUCAGUUUGGAACACUGUCUGGCACAUAAUGAGCUAUAUGAGUAUGUGUUUUAUUGAUUAGGAAUGCUUUAUGAAUGUUAUGUGAGCAUUUGGGAUUUGGAGUUAGACGGGCUGGGUUUGAGGUUUUUCUCCACCUUGUGGACCUUGAAAAAGAGGCUUGAGCAAGCCCUGUAGCUUAUGUGAGCUUCAGUCUUCUGGUCCACUUAGUGGAAAUAAAAGUUGGCACCUUUGGUUGUUGCAAAAUAUGCCCCUGGUGCCAAAGUGCUGAUAAGCGAGAUGCAAAUAUUGGCUGUGGUUGUUGUGAUUGUCAUUGUGAUUAUCUGUCUGGUCAUCAGAAUUCCUGGUCUUGUGGGGCCAUGGAAAGAGCACAGGAUCCAUUCAUUUUUUCUGUGAUGUUUACUGUUAACCUGCUCUGGGCCCUACAUUAUGCUGAGAGCUAAGUCUAUGGAGAUGAGUAAAUUGGAGCCCCUGCCCUCCAGAAGCUCACAUCCUCCUACUCAUGGCAGACAAAUAAACGUGAAUUACACUGCAGGGAGGUAAGUGUGGCAGCAGAUGUAGUAUGCAGUGCAGAGGUGGCCAUGGUUGCGGGGGCAAGGAGGGCUUCCUAGCAUGGGCGUUAUUUGACCAGAGGUCUGGCGGUGGCUUUUGCUAGCAGUGUGAUCUGAGCCAGGGACAGAUACCUCUGUGAGCCUUUGUUUCCUCAUCUGUAAAGUGGUUAAAGACUGAAUAAAGCAAAAUAUGUGCAAACAGUCUGUGAAUGGGGAAGUAACAGAUGUUGCUUUCUAUUAUGUUCUCUCCUAGCCAUGAAUAUCAAUUAUUACAGAAAUGAAAAGGGAUCCUGCACCCAAAUUCAAAUCAAGCAAGUUCACCUAGAGGUUGCAGUGGGGUGGAGGGCCCAGAUCUGGGCUGUUUGGAUCUCUCUGCAGGAUGAAAGGGAUUUCCUGGACCUGGCUUUGCUGUCCCUUGUUCCUUUUGCCCACCAUGUGCCAGGCAUCAUGCCUGGGGCUUGGGAUCCAGAGAUGAAGAGACAGUCAACCAAGUCCAUCAGGCUCUGCCAACCCCUGUAGUGUGAGUGGUGGUUGGAGCACGUGUUAUACCCCCAAAAGGUGGGCUUGGCCAAGCCCUUCCACUUACCAGCCAUGUGUCCUUCUGGAUGGCAGUUUCCUCAUCUGCAAAAUGUGUGUAGCCCUAAGACCUGUCACCCAGGACCAUUUGGGAGGUCAGCUGUUGUUUUGCAGGUGAAAAGAUCCAUCUGGUCUCUGGGCCUGGCACUCUAUCUAUAAAGUGAGGCUCUACUCCAACAUGUACCCACGGUGUGCUCUGGGUAGUAAACUGUGGUGGUUUAGCACUUUGCCUUUGGGUCUGACAGUCCUGGAUUCAAAUCCAGACUCUGCCCUCUACUGUGUAACCUGGUGCAUGUCACUUAACCUCUGUGGAACCCAGUAUUCUCAACUAUUAAAUGAGGAUGAUAAUAGUAGUAAUCAUAGUAGUACCUAGCUCAGACUGUUGGUGUAAAAAUUAAAUGAGCUAAUUAAAAUUAAAAAGUAAAGUGUUUUGCACAGAGACACUCCUAGUAAGCCCUGAAGAAAUGAGAGCUAUGCUUUUGAUUAUUAAUAUUCUUAUAAUCCAAAGGAUGAUGCAGGAUUUUUUAAAUCUUUCCACAUGUAUGUUUUUGGACCAGUCCAAAAAAGAAUUGGAAACAUACUUAUGCCGCAUAAAGACAGAGUUAUGAGGAACUAUAAAAACAAAAUAAAACCUUUGGAGAAUCAACUGCAAA